rnacentral:rRNA from 1 species
AGUGAACGCUGGCGGUAGGCCUAACACAUGCAAGUCGAACGGCAGCACAGUAAGAGCUUGCUCUUACGGGUGGCGAGUGGCGGACGGGUGAGGAAUACAUCGGAAUCUACUUUUUCGUGGGGGAUAACGUAGGGAAACUUACGCUAAUACCGCAUACGACCUACGGGUGAAAGCAGGGGAUCUUCGGACCUUGCGCGAUUGAAUGAGCCGAUGUCGGAUUAGCUAGUUGGCGGGGUAAAGGCCCACCAAGGCGACGAUCCGUAGCUGGUCUGAGAGGAUGAUCAGCAACACUGGAACUGAGACACGGUCCAGACUCCUACGGGAGGCAGCAGUGGUGAAUAUAGGACAAUGGGCGCAAGCCUGAUCCAGCCACACCGCGUGUGUGAAGAAGGCCUCCGGGUUGUAAAGCCCUUUUGUUGGGAAAGAAAAGCAGCAGGUUAAUACCCCGCUGUUCUGACGGUACCCAAAGAAUAAGCACCGGCUAACUUCGUG